UACGAGGGGGGCGAGCGUUGUUCGGAAUUAUUGGGCGUAAAGGGUGCGUAGGCGGUUUGGUAAGUCUCUUGUGAAAUCUAUGGGCUCAACUCAUAGUCUGCAAGGGAAACUGCCGGGCUGAGUGUGGGAGAGGUGAGUGGAAUUUCCGGUGUAGCGGUGAAAUGCGUAGAUAUCUGGAGGAACACCGGUGGCGAAGGCGGCAUCCUGGGACCGGCAUUGACGCUGAGGCGCGAAAGCCAGGGGAGCAAACGGGG
rnacentral:rRNA from 1 species